rnacentral:lncRNA from 1 species
AGUAUAUAAGCAGAUUAAGUAUGGGGUGAGAAGUCAGGUGAUUCUGGGGACCAAAUCUAGUUCUGCCUUAAAGAGAGUUACUCUCUAAACUCAGAUAUAUUCAGAAAGUAGGGAUAACAGUACUUGCCCACCUCCCUUGCUGGACUAUUUAUAAAGAGCAAGUGAAGUAAAGAAUAUCUGUGAAGCUCUGCCUAAAGGUCCCUAAAUAGAGCCAGAAACAGGAAGGUCUGGGCCUCUCCUACCAGUUCCAUGGGCAGUAGAGCUCAGCUGGUGUUCCAGUUGCUCCUGUAAGUGGUCAUUGAUGCAGAUGGAUUCCUCUAGGUGCUGGCCCAAGUUCUGGAUUUCACCAAGAUGCUCUUCCAGGAGGACAGCCCCUGUAGCCAAACCAACAGGACAUGGAGAAAUCACUUUCAAUAUGGAAGAUGAAAGAAUAGCCUGGAAGGAUCUAGAGAUCUGAAGGCAAAUUAGAGAGAGGAUGACACCCCCCUUCCCCCUGCCAAACA